rnacentral:rRNA from 1 species
CGAAAGCGUGGGGAGCAAACAGGAUUAGAUACCCUGGUAGUCCACGCCGUAAACUAUGGAUGCUAGCUGUAAGAGGUAUCGACCCCUCUUGUAGCGAAGCUAACGCGUUAAGCAUCCCGCCUGUGGAGUACGAGCGCAAGCUUAAAACAUAAAGGAAUUGACGGGGACCCGCACAAGCGGUGGAGCGUGUUGUUUAAUUCGAUGGUAAGCGAAGAACCUUACCCAGGUUUGACAUCCCGAAAAGGUUUCCGAAAGGAAAUUGUGCCGCAAGGAAUUCGGUGACAGGUGAUGCAUGGCCGUCGUCAGCUCGUGUCGUGAGAUGUUAGGUUAAGUCCUUCAACGAGCGCAACCCUUAUAGUUAGUUGUAUUUUUCUAGCUAGACUGCCCUGGUAACAGGGAGGAAGGGGGGGAUGAUGUCAGGUCAGUAUUUCCCUUACAUCUGGGGCUACAAACACGCUACAAUGGCCGGUACAAAGGGCAGCCAAGUCGCAAGACGGAGCAAACCCCAUCAAAGCCGGUCUCAGUUCGGAUAGCAGGCUGAAACUCGCCUGCUUGAAGCUGGAAUCGCUAGUAACGGUAGGUCAGCACACUACCGUGAAUACGUUCCCGGGUCUUGUACACACCGCCCGUCAAGCCAUGAAAGUCGCCAAUACCUGACGUACUAACUUGCUUAGUCCUAAGGUAGGGGAGAUGAU